rnacentral:rRNA from 1 species
AGUGAACGCUGGCGGUAGGCCUAACACAUGCAAGUCGAACGGCAGCACAGUAAGAGCUUGCUCUUACGGGUGGCGAGUGGCGGACGGGUGAGGAAUACAUCGUAAUCUACUUUUUCGUGGGGGAUAACGUAGGGAAACUUACGCUAAUACCGCAUACGACCUACGGGUGAAAGCAGGGGAUCUUCGGACCUUGCGCGAUUGAAUGAGCCGAUGUCGGAUUAGCUAGUUGGCGGGGUAAAUGCCCACCAAGGCGACGAUCCGUAGCUGGUCUGAGAGGAUGAUCAGCCACACUGGAACUGAGACACGGUCCAGACUACUACGGGAGGCAGCAGUGGGGAAUAUUGGACAAUGGGCGCAAGCCUGAUCCAGCCAUACCGCGUGGGUGAAGAAGGCCUUCGGGUUGUAAAGCCCUUUUGUUGGGAAAGAAAAGCAGCAGGUUAAUACCCCGCUGUUCUGACGGUACCCAAAGAAUAAGCACCGGCUAACUUCGUG